CAAAGUAUAGCUUAACCAAAGCAUCUCGCUUACACCGAGAAAAUAUCUGUGCAACCCGGGUUACUUUGA
rnacentral:tRNA from 1 species